rnacentral:rRNA from 1 species
UACAGAGGUCUCAAGCGUUGUUCGGAUUCAUUGGGCGUAAAGGGUGCGUAGGCGGCGCGGUAAGUCGGGUGUGAAAUCUUGGAGCUUAACUCCGAAACUGCAUUCGAUACUGCCGUGCUUGAGGACUGGAGAGGAGACUGGAAUUCCCGGUGUAGCGGUGAAAUGCGCAGAUAUCGGGAGGAACACCGGUGGCGAAGGCGGCUCUCUGGACCGAUACUGACGCUGAGGCGCGAAAGCGUGGGGAGCAAACAGG